AGGAAUUCAGUCGACAACCCUAUCCAAAUUUGAAUUCUGUUGAUGAAUAAUUAAUAUAUGGAAAGACGGACCCUUGGCUGUGAACAGGUUAUCAACACUUGAUAACUGCAGAUAACCAAAGCUGGACUGUAAUUUUAAGGUUUGGCUACGAAGGAUAUGAAACAAUUUCAAGGAGAACUAACUGUGAGAGAAGACUUACCUUAUGAUGAUGAUAAUGAAGUAGAUUAUUGUGGGGUUGACGACGACGAUGAUGAGUUUUAGAAGUAGAUGAUGAAGGUGAUUGACUUUAGGAGAAGAAUUCGCAUUUGCAGCAGCGGAUGAGGGUUGAGGAGGCUUCGUUUUUCGUUGAAAAGAGAAGAGAAGGCACCUAAAUGAGAUUUAUUAGGCCACAGCUUGACAGACUUCACCGAAAAAAAGCCUAUCAAAAAGUCCAAAUCAACAAUAGCUUCGUAUUCAGCUGAAACGCAUUAAUAGAUUUAGACCUGUUAGGACAAAAAAAAGUAACACAUUAUUAAGUUCAUUCCCGAAGGCUAAAAAAAGAUCUCAAGCUUUGAAAUGUUGAAAUUCCAAAUACUCGCCGCUGCUAAAAGACCAAUCUCAACUGAGAUAAAUAUCACACCAAAGAAAUCUUUAUUUGAAUUAAACUUGAAAGAUAAUCCAUUAGUAAAUGGCUUUGUCCAAUUGACCUGGAAUGUAAUCCAAAUUAGUCAUUACAAGCACAUAAUCAAUUAUAGUGUUUGUUGUCAACACUAUAUUGUUUGUUGUCAUUUAACAUGUACUUUGUGAUGCUGCCAACACCUAAAUUCCAUUAGUAGAUGUAUACUGUAGUUGCAUAUUAAUAAUUUAAAUGUGACAACAGUUACCAAAUCAUAUGACACCAAUCAUUCCAUUAGAAAUUACACUAUAAUUCACAUAUUAUACCUGUAAUUACAGUGACCGCCAGCUCCAUUCCAGUCAUCCUAUUAUUAUAAAAAAAAAAACCAACAGGUGGAGGAACUUGGAAUAACAGUUAGAAGAAAGAAGAAAAAUAAAUAAUUACGUUUGAGAUUAAAACUGAAUAACCAUUAUAGAUUAUAAGAACACAAAAAUAUAAGAAGAAUUUAAAAACAAAACUGAAAUUGAAAACUAAAAUGUCAUGUAAAAAAUAGAAACAAACAUUAAUUUUUCCUUUUUUACACAAAGAAGUAAUUGUACUACGUACCACUGAAAACCUAGAUAAUAGAAAAUCUUAAUUUAAUCCAACUGAGUGACUUAACCAUGUUUAACACUCAACAUGCCUUGGAAGUCCAAUGACUGUAGCCAUAUUUGAUAAGCACUAAGUGUGAUUAUGACCAAAAAUUUUUAUUUGAAAUAAACCCGAAAGAUAAACAUUUUUGGAAUAAAUAUAAAUGAAUAAGUAAAACUUACACUGGCUCAAUUACUGAAUUUAGCAUUGAUUGUGCUCGUUCCUUCUCUCUUCUUAUGAGUUGCCCUAGCUUUGCCUUACUUAUCUCUUCAGUUCCAUUUGAAAAUAUAGCUUCCAAUGACUUUGUUUGAGAAGUUGAAUCACUGCCAUGUAGGUAACAUUAUAAGCAUGUUUAUUUUAUGUUACAAAUAAUGAAAAUUGUUGUUCAUGUAAUUAAAUAAAAUAAAAAAAUUAUAUUAUCUAUGUGCAAUCCUUAUGCAUUGAUUUGAAAAAACUUACAUAGGUUCAAUUACUGAAUUUAGAAUCGAUUGCGCUCGUUCCCUUUCUCUUCUCAAACGUUGUCCUUGUUUUGCCUUACUUAUCUCUUCACUGUUGGUUGAAGAAGUUUUCACACUUUUGACAGGUAUUUUUUUCUUUGUCAUGAUUGUGCUCCAAGUA
rnacentral:lncRNA from 1 species